rnacentral:rRNA from 1 species
UAAUACGGGUGAGGCAAGCGUUGUUCGGAAUCAUUGGGCUUAAAGCGCGUGUAGGCGGCGUCGUAAGUACCUUGUGAAAUCCCUUCUCUCAAUGGAGGAAUUGCUUGGUAUACUGCGAUGCUUGAGGCAGGUAGGGGUGCUUGGAACUCUAGGUGGAGCGGUGAAAUGCGUAGAUAUCUAGAG